rnacentral:rRNA from 1 species
GUCCAUAUUAUUGGGCCUAAAGCGUCCGUAGCUGGCCGACCAAGUCUACCGGGAAAUCCACCCGCCCAACGGGUGGGCGUCCGGUAGAAACUGGCCGGCUUGGAACCGGAAGGCUCAGAGAGUACGUCCGGGGUAGGAGUGAAAUCCCGUAAUCCCGGACGGACUACCGAUGGCGAAAGCACUCUGAGAAGACGGCUUCGACAGUGAGGGACGAAAGCUCGGGUCUCAAACC